GACGAACGCUGGCGGCGUGCUUAACACAUGCAAGUCGAACGGAAAGGCCCUGCUUUUGUGGGGUGCUCGAGUGGCGAACGGGUGAGUAACACGUGAGUAACCUGCCCUUGACUUUGGGAUAACUUCAGGAAACUGGGGCUAAUACCGGAUAGGAGCUCCUGCUGCAUGGUGGGGGUUGGAAAGUUUCGGCGGUUGGGGAUGGACUCGCGGCUUAUCAGCUUGUUGGUGGGGUAGUGGCUUACCAAGGCUUUGACGGGUAGCCGGCCUGAGAGGGUGACCGGCCACAUUGGGACUGAGAUACGGCCGAGACUCCUACGGGAGACAGCAGUGGGGAAUAUUGCACAAUGGGCGGAAGCCUGAUGCAGCAACGCCGCGUGCGGGAUGACGGCCUUCGGGUUGUAAACCGCUUUCGCCUGUGACGAAGCGUGAGUGACGGUAAUGGGUAAAGAAGCACCGGCUAACUACGUG
rnacentral:rRNA from 1 species